rnacentral:lncRNA from 1 species
ACUUCGACGCACUACCCCCUUUUCUUCCCUUAGCCUUGUAAAGCUUCUGGUGAUCUAUACAAUUCCCAAUUCUCAAAGGGUCAAAACAAGAACUUCUCUGUUUAUUACAUCUGAGUUUGCUAUCACCCAAAGCUACAAUCUUGCAAGUACCAUCGAGAAGUGAAUUGGGAAACACAAAAUUCAAGGUACCCAUUUUUAUAUUUCACAAAAUUUGAGGUUCCUAGAGAGUUAACCAAACAAGACUUGAAUUUUUGCCUUGUGGGUUUCAAGCUAUCCAAUUCUCUUUACUUCUGCAAGUUCC